rnacentral:tRNA from 1 species
GUGGUGGCUCAGUGGCAGAGUGCUUGCCUCGCAUGUGUGAGACACUGGGUUCGAUUCCCAGCACCACA